rnacentral:rRNA from 1 species
UACGGGGGGGGCAAGCGUUGUUCGGAAUUACUGGGCGUAAAGGGCUCGUAGGCGGCCAACUAAGUCGGACGUGAAAUCCCUCGGCUUAACCGGGGAACGGCGUCCGAUACUGGAUGGCUUGAGUUUGGGAGAGGGAUGCGGAAUUCCAGGUGUAGCGGUGAAAUGCGUAGAUAUCUGGAGGAACACCGGUGGCGAAGGCGGAUCUCUGGGCCGAUACUGACGCUGAGGAGCGAAAGCGUGGGGAGCGAACAGG